GUGAAUUAUUUGCUGUAACAUUCAGUCAUGAGACCAAUUGAAACAUCAGCUCAUCAAUUUUUUAUUAUUGCCUCUGAUUUGGGAGCCUCAGCAUGUGCAAUUUGUACAAGCCCAACCCAUAUGCUUCAUCUUCACUCGGAGGGCAGCUGAAAAUGAUGGGAUCCUUGAAGGUGGCCGAGGUCAUCACAGCAGACUGCAAACUGAUUGAAGCCUCUGAGGAGUUGCUCAGGACAUGGAUGCCAUUUUCUAAAGUUUUUCUAUGUACAUUUGCAAGCAGAGUGGUAAAUCUUGCCUUCGUUAUGAAGAAAAGAAUGGGGAUGGGAGUGAAAUAGAGGAUGAGAAGAAAGUGAAACUCAGCCAAGUCCCAUUGGGAUUUAAUGGGCAGCUCAUAAGACUUCAUGUGCUAAAGGACUGAUCGGCAAAAGCUAUAGCAGUCUUCCUCAGCCAGCUCUGACAAAAGCAUCCUUAGUCUGCAUUUGAGCUAAGUUUGGUUCUCUGUUUUUAUGUGGGAGAACAGAGUGUGCUAUAUUACAGGAGCUAAACCCUUGAACAUUAAGUUGUCUGAGAUGUAUGCUGCUUUUUCACUUGUGAUUUUAAGAGAACAAUGGAAGUGCUGAUUUUCACCUUUCUGUAAUCUCAGUUUUACAUUGAAGGAGAACCUCAUCUUCAGGAAUAGAGCACGGAAUACAAAAGAUUGUUCUUAAUGUAAAAAACAGCUGGGGAAAUUUUCUAGGAGAUCUAAUACAGUUACUCAAAGUGCAAUGCUGAAUAGCAGAGUGUAUCUCCUUUUCUUUAAUUCUGCUCAGUACUGUACAUUUUUUACUUUCAUUCCUUGUUUCCACAAAUUCAUCUGGGAUGCUCGUUAAUCUGGUAUUCCUAUUAUCAGCAUACUUUGAAAGAGACCAGAUUUCCACCAGAAAUCUUGACAUAUAUGUAAAUCUUCUUCCAGUUAGGAAAAGAAAAGAUAAUACACCACACGUUGGUGUCUAUAGGUCAACCACAGGCUAUAUAAAAUAAGGUUCCAUGUAGUUAAAAUAAAUGAAAAAGAAAAAUCAUUAAUCCGUUUAAAAAUAAUAACAAUUAAAAAGCAUUUGUUAAUGAACAGUCCCUUCAAAUCAGUUCUGUGACUUAAUACUUUCUCUAAAUGUAUAGUGCUAAGUAACAUAGUAUAUCCCUGUGCUGAGGAGUAGCUGCAGGCUACUUCAAAGGUACUUUGUUUUUAUCACUGAAAUGUCCACCUCUUCUUGCUAAAUAGUUCCCUCUGGGAGGAGGAUUGUGGAAAGCACUUUGUACUGGAUCUUCUGCUGUUACAGUACUUUGCAGUUUUCUUCAGCGUGUGUGGCUCUGGGGAGUUACUGCACAUCCUUUGUUUACCAUGUUCCCCUGGGGUCUUUGAGGCCUCUUCCAAAUCAAUAGUACUCCUUCUUGACUGCAGCACCUAGCACCAUUAAAGAGGGUGCACAUAUGUUUGCUUCUGGGUGUGAGGUACUGCCCAAAUUUUGCAAAAAUAGUCCCUUGUGUGCAGACACUGGAAUAGCUCUAGUUAACUGCUUGAGGUGGAGCCCCCAAAGAUAAAUUGUAAUGAACAUAUUUGAGUGAAUUUCUAAAAGCUUGGUUAUGUAACUAGAAAGCAGCUACCCGUGUUGAGCCCUCAGAUGGUACCUCACUGGAGUUUGGUAAAAUAUCUAUAUCUCAGACAGAAAUUCUGUGAGAUUUUCUGUGCUGAACUGACAGCUGUUUUGAUAAAGUCAAGAAUUUUUGCUCUAAGAAGAAAAACAUGUAGUUAGCAACUGUGAUGUGGGUAAUCACCUUGUUUUUGUAAAUUACAGGGUCAUUCCUGAGCCACUGAAGAGAGACAGCCAUGAAAAGAGUCCAAUGCAAAGAAGACGAAAACUCCAUCAGAAUCUGAAGUUAUCCAAGAGAAGUUUUUAUAGCCCUCAUGAAAAAGGUUCUUGAGAAGAUGACCAUCUUCUGGAAGGCCACCGGGAAAGGCUGAGAGCGCUUGAUCUGGUAACAAUAAGAAAGCUGAAAGCAGGAAACGGUGCUCUGUAUUCAAAGAACAUAGAAAUCUCUUGUACUUCUUAGCAGUUUGAUAUUACAAGGCUUGCAGAAUACUUGCUUUAUGCAUGUAGUCAUUGGAAGAAAGCCUAGUGGGAUAAGAAGUUGCACUGUGUGCUUUAUUGCUUCCUAUGUAUGCCCAGUUCCCAGCACCUCUUGCCAGCUGGUUGGAUGAACGCCUCAAGGACAUGUACGUUGAAGUCACUGCUGCAGGAAGGAUCUUCUGCUGCUUUCCUGCCACCACUGUACUUGGAGGAAUUUUGAAAUACUCACACACAACCAGAUUCUGAGGAAAAAUAAGUCAUCUGGCAGGAUAAAAAAAAAAACUAAUGCAUUCUCUGAUACGACUCCUUCACUGUGCAUAAAUAAGGCCCUUAAAUGAAGUUUACAAUACGGUGGUGAAUGAAGAUAAAAAAGCAGAUGCUGACAUUAAGAGCAAAGGGUGUUAUGCCUUUGUCUACUUUCCUCCCACACAUUCCCCUCCUCCCACUCCAGUUUUCAAGGGGAACGUACAAGAAGAAAAGAAAACUGAAGAUUGUGCACCAGUUAAAAGAUACCUGUCAAUUUUUUACCAGAAGUAGCUAAGAUGUCACAACCAACACCAGUCAUGCAAGGUUGCUGGUGCAUCUUGAUGCCCACAUGCAUGCAGCUGUCUACACCAACCAGCAGUGUGGCUGAGGAGUGGACCAGGUCUGAACUGUGCCAUCUGUGGAUCACCAGAAGGGACUACUACUUUUAUCUUGCGAGACAGAGCCAAAAGAGAAUUUGUUUAAAGUGGUAUCGAGGUGGACUUAAACUGGCAUGAGACUUACAAGGUAUCCUAAAUUCGGGAAUGAUACUUAUUCCUGACGGUGAAACAUCUUUUAUGUAAAGGCACUUACUUUUUAAUGGAAAGAAAAACAGUCCAAUGUUACUAAAAUGCUGCCAAAUGUUGGACUUUUCCAGUUGCUAACAUGCUUCAGUAGCUGUGUGCUGCUCGCCAGGAAUGAAACCAUACCUGUGAUUUAGAGGAGAUAAAGUGAGUGAAUGCAUGAAGUAAAACAUUAGGAAUUUUAGCAAAACCAGAAUAAUCGAAUAAGUUUUCCUUCUAUAUUGGAAUGUAUGGUGCACUGCGUAAUAGAAUGUAGGUGUUGCAGAUAGUCGGCUAAUUGUGAAAUAUACUAACCUGUAGCAAAAGAGACCAAGUUGAAAAGACUACAGUGGAAUAGCGAUGGGAACAUUCAUUAUGAAUACAUGAAUUACAAGAAUGCAGCCUGCCCAAUGAUUUAAAACAGAAGAAAAAGUUGUUGAAGAAGUGUGCUUAAGGUUCUCAGAGAUCUGCUGGUGCCUUAUGACAAAUUGAAGAACUAUUUCACUGAUGUCCAUGUCGUGCUUAAAACUCAAAUACUGCAAGAAGUAAAAUAAGAUCUGUGAAUCCACAUGAUCACAUGGCCUUCUCUGCAGUCCAGUCCAUGAACCACUGAACAAAUAUACAUCAAUCAAGACAUGCAUUUAGUGCUUCAAAAGGCUGUGAAAAGAACAUUUAUUUCCCUUCUGGAUACUAAAGCAUGAAAAUAAGUCAAAGAGCAUUUUAAUCUCACCAGCCAACAGCUUUCUGUGUUCAAGUAAUAUCUAUGUUGAAUUGGAUAUAGAAAAACUUGGCAGCAUCUUUCUGUUUGUACAGAGUGUUAUGGAGCAGAAAAAAACAUCAGUUCUACCAUGUGGAGCUUCCUAAACACGUGGUGAUACUAAGGAUGGGUCCUGAUUUCUGUGAUGCCAUCUGCUGCACCAAUGCUAAAGCCCCAUGUAAGUAUGGAACAAAAGAAUAAUGGAUGCAGUUUCGAAUUAGGGCUGUAAGGGGAUUUGCUUUGAAUAUUUAAGAUGAAGUCAAGUAUUUGUACAGGAAGCUGGCCAUUUACCUUCCUAUGUUUAUCUCUCAUUACUGCCUAGUUGCAUUCAACAGACAUUGAGUUGGCAAACUGCAGUUUUUCAGAAAUUUUAAGGGGACUUACUUUGGCACUAAAAUACCAUAUUGCUUCAUUUUGCAUGCUUGAGUUGUACAAUUCCUGGCAGUAAAAAUUGCAGUUUGGAGUUGUUGCAUUCAUUCCACUUAAGACACAGAAAUCAUAAGUGGCUAUGUCUCUCCUGGCAGACUAAAAGUGAAGUGCCUGGUUCCCCCUUUCUCAUAUACCAACAGGUCUCCACUGACCUUACAUAAUUACAGAAUAACCUUAUAGUUAAUAGAAUUAUCCUGAUGUGGUGCAAAUGCAGAUUGAAUCUCAAAUGUUUUUGCAAGUUUAACUGACAUUCAUCAGACUUGGGUUUAAUGAAGUACAGUAAUUAUGUAUAUGUUUGGCAACAUUUGUCUCCUGGUUGAUAUUUUUAUGUUCAGAUGUUUUAUUACUUACAGAUGCUUUGUUUCUGCUUAUUUUGCAGAUUUCCAUUUUUUAAGCAAUUUCAUGUAAUUUUGCAAAUAUCUAGUAAACAUUAGAAUACUGGGACUUUUCACAUGAUACAAAAAUAAAUUGGCUCUUUCUAGUUAAAAUCUUACUUCACUGAAAAGUCUAUUUUUUUUUGUUGUUUUUAAUUAGCAUAGCAUUCUUUUUUUAAAUGCAAUUAUGUAUUUUCUUGUAGAUACAUAACACAGAAAAAGUACAGCUAAGUUCUUUGCUUACAUUACAGUUACAAAAUUGUUCCUCAUACCAGAGGGUAAAUAUUUUAAUUUUGUGUUCAGCAAAAUGAAAUAAUAAUCUGUAAAUCUUACCCAAAUAUUUGGGUUUGACCAUUGUAAUGCCCCGCAAAGUUUUAUUAGUGACAGUGUGUAAAUGAAGGCUGCUUUAAAAAGAAACACCACUGUGUCAUCAAGGUUGUUUUGGUGGUGUGCUCAUUUAUGACAUAUUCUGCAUAUUGGGUGAUUAAACUAGCACUAGAAACAUAUCCUUCUCUAUCGAGCCAUUCAGGAUGACUGCAUUUGGGAUUCAUUCCCAACUCCACCAUGUUUUUUCACUUCAACAUUAAAAUAUCAGAUAGAAAGUACAUAAUUCAUAUCUAUCUUGGGGUUUGAUUCACCCGCCACUGACAUCAAUUUUAUGCUAACGUAACUCCAUUGAAAAUGAUUAUAUUACUCUGAUGCUAUACUGGUUUAAUAGAGUAGCAAAUUGGGCUGAAGGGAUUUUUUUCAGUUACUUCUAAUUUUCUGAUUACAGCAGUUAUUGAAACUCAUAAAAUUCAUGCAGUAUUGUUGCUCCACUGUGGGUUGUCUACAUCGGAAACCUCACUUCAUUUUGGGGCUUAAAGAAAUUCCCAGCUGGCUUUAGCAUACUUAAAGUACAUUCAGUCAAAUUCCUCAUCAAGAUCUUUAUUUUUUAAUUUGCAUAUGAUUUUAGCCACGUUCCAGAUAUUGCAAACACAGUGCUUAAAUUCCAUAUAUUCCAGAUUCAUGGGCAGGUGGGAAACUAUUUCUAAAUUUGCAUAUCUCUAGCUUGUCCUUCCUCUUUCAGCAGCCAACAAAAUAGGAGACCACCUUUUUUAUUGGUUCAGGUUUGAUCCUUUGGGUAGAAGAAUUUGUGUAGUUUGGAUGCACUGACAUAAUGUAAGGGCUUCCUCAUAGAUGUGUCUGAAGGAUGAGAAGUGAAUUAUUUAUUAAUGAAAGCUGAGUAUCCAUGUCACCACAUGAUUCCACAAGCCAGACCUUAGCACCAUCAACAGAAUACUGAGGGUCUCUGGGUUGAAUCAGAAAAGUUGGCAGCUCUCUGGCACAUUCAUCUGGAUUGUUUAUGUUUUCUCUUCUGGGAGCUUUCUUUGAAAACAUGGCAUUACUGCUCUGUGGAAGGAAUAGUUACUAAUGGACAAUUGUUUUGUGCUUUUGUUUUUGUUUUUUCAAAAUAAAACAGUUUUCAACAAUGUAUAGUCCAUUUUACUUCACACUGCAUCACAGACGCAGUAGGACUAAGUUUUCCAACACAACAUCGAAACAGCCAGUACAGCAAUGGAAGUUCCACUUCAUUUUUCUAUUACAGAGCAGAAGUGGAAAAAUGAUGAGAUAGUGAUUAAAUGACCUCUUAUGUCUCAAAGAAGUUUCAGUCAGGUCUGGUUUGAUACAUUGUGGUUUGUAGUUCUGAGUGUGCUGUUGGACAAAAGUGAGGAGACUGAGCCGUGUCUGCUUGUUGCAAUUUGAGGAAUGCUAAUAGCUUGAAUUCCUAUAAAUAAGUGUAGCAAGAACAGAAAUUCUUCUUCAAUCUCUGCCUGGAGGGUUGCAGAAGCUGUUCUCUUCAGCACACUUUGGAAAGUCAGUCCAAAGUAAGUCAAAUUGCAACAUUGUUCUGUAUAAUAAAAAUGAGUUUCCAUUUGA